GUUAGCUCAGUUGGUAGAGCACUUGACUUUUAAUCAAGGGGCCAUAAGUUCGAAUCUUAUA
rnacentral:tRNA from 1 species